AGCGUAGACGGCAAGGCAAGUCUGAUGUGAAAGGCUGGGGCUCAACCCCGGGACUGCAUUGGAAACUGUCCUGCUAGAGUGCCGGAGAGGUAAGCGGAAUUCCUAGUGUAGCGGUGAAAUGCGUAGAUAUUAGGAGGAACACCAGUGGCGAAGGCGGCUUACUGGACGGUAACUGACGUUGAGGCUCGAAAGCGUGGGGAGCAAACA
rnacentral:rRNA from 1 species